rnacentral:rRNA from 2 species
ACCAGAAAAGCCACGGCUAAGUACGUGCCAGCAGCCGCGGUAAUACGUAGGUGGCAAGCGUGUCCGGAUUAUUGGGCGUAAAGCGAGCGCAGGCGGUUUUUUAAGUCUGAUGUGAAAGCCUUUCGGCUCAAACCGAAGAAGUGCAUCCGGAAACUGGGAAACUUGAGUGCAGAAGAGGACAGUGGAACUCCAUGUGUAGCGGUGAAAUGCGUAGAUAUAUGGAAGAACACCAGUGGCGAAGGCGGCUGUCUGGUCUGUAACUGACGCUGAGGCUCGAAAGUAUGGGUAGCAAACAGGAUUAGAUACCCUGGUAGUCCAUACCGUAAACGAUGAAUGCUAAGUGUUGGAGGGUUUCCGCCCUUCAGUGCUGCAGCUAACGCAUUAAGCAUUCCGCCUGGGGAGUACGGCCGCAAGGCUGAAACUCAAAGGAAUUGACGGGGGCCCGCACAAGCGGUGGAGCAUGUGGUUUAAUUCGAAGCUACGCGAAGAACCUUACCAGGUCUUGACAUACUAUGCAAAUCUAAGAGAUUAGACGUCCCCUUCGGGGACAUGGAUACAGGUGGUGCAUGGUUGUCGUCAGCUCGUGUCGUGAGAUGUUGGGUUAAGUCCCGCAACGAGCGCAACCCUUAUUAUCAGUUGCCAGCAUUAAGUUGGGCACUCUGGUGAGACUGCCGGUGACAAACCGGAGGAAGGUGGGGAUGACGUCAAAUCAUCAUGCCCCUUAUGACCUGGGCUACACACGUGCUACAAUGGAUGGUACAACGAGUUGCGAACUCGCGAGAGUAAGCUAAUCUCUUAAAGCCAUUCUCAGUUCGGAUUGUAGGCUGCAACUCGCCUACAUGAAGUCGGAAUCGCUAGUAAUCGCGGAUCAGCAUGCCGCGGUGAAUACGUUCCCGGGCCUUGUACACACCGCCCGUCACACCAUGAGAGUUUGUAACACCCAAAGUCGGUGGGGUAACCUUUUAGGAACCAGCCGCCUAAGGGUGAACAAAAUUGAGGC